rnacentral:rRNA from 1 species
AACGAACGCUGGCGGCAUGCCUAACACAUGCAAGUCGAACGAAGCCUUCGGGCUUAGUGGCGCACGGGUGCGUAACGCGUGGGAAUCUGCCCUUGGGUUCGGAAUAACAGUUAGAAAUGACUGCUAAUACCGAAUGAUGUCUUCGGACCAAAGAUUAUCGCCCAAGGAUGAGCCCGCGUCGGAUUAGCUAGUUGGUGAGGUAAAGGCUCACCAAGGCGACGAUCCGUAGCUGGUCUGAGAGGAUGAUCAGCCACACUGGGACUGAGACACGGCCCAGACUCCUACGGGAGGCAGCAGUGGGGAAUAUUGGACAAUGGGCGAAAGCCUGAUCCAGCAAUGCCGCGUGAGUGAUGAAGGCCUUAGGGUUGUAAAGCUCUUUUACCCGGGAUGAUAAUGACAGUACCGGGAGAAUAAGCCCCGGCUAACUCCGUGCCAGCAGCCGCGGUAAU